rnacentral:rRNA from 1 species
UACGGGGGGGCAAGCGUUGUUCGGAAUUACUGGGCGUAAAGGGCUCGUAGGUGGCCAACUAAGUCAGACGUGAAAUCCCUCGGCUUAACCGGGGAACUGCGUCUGAUACUGGAUGGCUUGAGUUUGGGAGAGGGACGCGGAAUUCCAGGUGUAGCGGUGAAAUGCGUAGAUAUCUGGAGGAACACCGGUGGCGAAGGCGGCGUCCUGGACCAACACUGACACUGAGGAGCGAAAGCCAGGGAGCAAACGGG